rnacentral:misc_RNA from 1 species
GAUGAAGAACGCAGCGAAAUGCGAUAAGUAAUGUGAAUUGCAGAAUUCAGUGAAUCAUCGAAUCUUUGAACGCACAUUGCGCCCAUUAGUAUUCUAGUGGGCAUGCCUGUUCGAGCGUCAUUAAUUCCACUUAAGCCCUGCUUAGUGUUGGGAAUCUACUCUAGUGGUGCUACCCCGGAGCUACCCCUGAAAGGGGGCUGGCCCGGUAGCUACCCUGUAGUUCCUCAAAGAUAGUGCGCGGAGUUGCGUGGUCCUCUGAGCUUAGUAACUAUACACCUAGCUUUUGAGUGUCCCGCGGCGCCUGCCGUUUAAACCCCAUCUUUUAAUGGUUGACCUCGGAUCAGGUAGGAAUACCCGCUGAACUUAAGCAUAUCAAUAAGCGGAGGA